UUGAAACCCAGUUACUUUUAUACUGCUGUGCCAGGUGCUGAAGUAUGCCUAUGCCUCAAAUCUUCCCUCAGGAAUGAUUGAGAGGCCCUUGCAAUGAGGAAAGAGUGAAGGAAUAUAUUCUGUCAGUACUUCUCAGAUGAAUGUAAAGAAAGUAACCUUUAGAAGGUGAUUCUUCCUUCUAAUUCCUACCUUGAAAUCA
rnacentral:lncRNA from 1 species